GCCGGAGUGGUGGAAUUGGAAGACGCGCCGGCCUCAAAAGUCGGUGGCCCGCAAGGCCGUGAGGGUUCGAGUCCCUCCUCCGGCA
rnacentral:tRNA from 1 species